rnacentral:rRNA from 1 species
UACAGAGGGGGCAAGCGUUAUUCGGAAUUAUUGGGCGUAAAGGGCGCGUAGGCGGCUUGGCAAGUGGAAGGUGAAAUCCCUCGGCUCAACUGAGGAACUGCCUUCCAGACUGCUUUGCUUGAGGCCGGGAGAGGUGAGUGGAAUUCCCAGUGUAGCGGUGAAAUGCGUAGAUAUUGGGAGGAACACCAGUGGCGAAGGCGGCUCACUGGACCGGUUCUGACGCUGAGGCGCGAAAGCGUGGGGAGCAAACGGG